GCGCCCGUAGCUCAGCUGGAUAGAGUGACAGACUACGAAUCUGGAGGUCCGGGGUUCGAAUCCCUGCGGGCGCGCCA
rnacentral:tRNA from 1 species